GUGGGGAGAGUGAGUCCUAGGCUCCAGCCCGCUGUUAAAGGAUCCGUCCGGGGCGAGGCCCGGGGUCCUGGGAUUGGGAGAUGGUUCUGAAAGGCCAGGGUCAGAAAGAAAAAUGUUCCUGUGCACGCACCCAGAGGCUUUUGCAGGAGGCGGCUAUUGGAGAACCAGGAAAACAAGCCAAGAAACAAGAGAGAGGAAAAAGACCACGCCUCGCUUGGCAGAUUCCUAAUGGCCCAGGAGACCUGAGGCUUUACAGUGGGAGGCCGGUGGGGGCUGGCUCGGGUGGGAGGGAAGGGCAGGCCGAAGGACAGCCACUUGCUGGCCAGUGACCUUGGGCGGGAUGCUGCCUGCUUCCCUCUGGUGAGAAUGGGGAGGAGGGGGCAGGGGCAGGGCUGGCUGGCUGAGGUCACAGGAAGGCCUCUUCCAGCCUGAAACGCGAUCUCGGGAUGUGGGGCCUGCCAACCUGCAGCGACCCUGGGCCAGCAGAGAUGAAAGGCUGCCUGUCCCAAGCUUCCGGACCCCCGAGGCCCCAGUGCCUCCAACUUGAAGGGCAGCAAAGCUGCUGCAGCUGGCUGAAGCCAGUUGCUGGGCUCUCCCCGCCCCACACACACCUGAUGUCAUCCAACCCUCCCUUCCCUGUUUCGCAGAGGACACUCAGGCCCAGAGAGGGCUGGUGGCCUGCCCGAGGUCACACAGCAAGUUGGAGGCUGAGCCAGGACUCACCACAAAGUCUUUGGACUCCAAGUCCAGGCCUCAUUCCCUUUCCCCGAAACUUGGCUGCCUGGGGGCUUACCCUGGGGAGUUGGAGAGACCCAGGGUUAGGGAGGACAGUUGGGAGCUGUGUCUGUUUGAAGUCACGACUUAAUGUUGAUUAAAGUGCCUUUUUAUAAAAAAAAAAAAAACCAAAAAGAACGUUCCCAGCCCUUGCCAUGAGCCUGGACUUGCUCUGCUGGCAGGGGAAGGAAUGCAGCUCUGGCCGCCACAGCUGCUGGUGGCCAGCUGCGGCCUCAGUUCCUGCCGCUCCCACCCCAGCAGGCAAAGGGACAAAGGCCUCUUCUCAGCCUGUCCCCUCCAGCCCCCUGGAUCAGUGGGGGCAGAGCAACAAUCAGGAGGCCCUGUCACUGACCAGCUAAGUCGCUCUUCCUCUCUGGGCCUUAGCGCCCUUUCUGGAAAAUGGGGGCAGAGUAUCUGCCUGGCCUAGUCUCAGCACCAUUUUGAGGUUUCAAAGAGGUAAAGUUACAGAAAUACAGACCUCUCAGCACCUUCUUCUGCCUGAGGGUCAGCCUACUCAGAGACCCCUCUGCCUCAAAGGCCCCUCCCUUCCUCACGCUUCACCUGGCCAGCCCCAGCUUGCUCAGCUCAGCUCAGCCGGACCAUCCCUCGCUCUGGGGAGCCCUCCCUCACCUCCAGACCGUGAUGCUCCUUCAAGGUAUUUAUCACUGUUGUAAUUAAAUAAUUAAUUGUGUAA